UUCAAGUUCAAAGUGUCUGAAUGUCAGAGG
rnacentral:piRNA from 1 species